UGUUGGGUAANUCCGUGAGCGCAACCCUUGUCCUAGUUGCCAGCACUUCGGGUGGGAACUUAGGGAGACUGCCGGUGACAAACCGGAGGAAGGUGGGGAUGACGUCAAGUCAUCAUGGCCACUUAUGGGNUGGGCUACANACGUGCUACAAUGGCCAGGUACAGAGGGCUGCUAACCCGCGAGGGGGCGCUAAUCCCAGAAAACCCGGUCGUAGNUGGAGUCUGCAACUCGACUCCAUGAAGUCAGGAUCGNUAGUAAUCGCGAAUCAGAAUGUCGC
rnacentral:rRNA from 1 species